AACGUAGGAGACAAACGUUAUCCGGAGUUACUGGGCGUAAAGGGCGUGUAGGUGGUAUCGUAAUCUGGCGUGAAAUUUCUCGGCUUAACCGAGGCAGGUCGUCGGAGUACUGCGAGGCUAGAGGACGGUAGAGGCGUGUGGAAUUCCCGGUGUAGCGGUGAAUGACGCAGAUAUCGGGAGGAACACCAAUGGCGAAGGCAGCUCGCUGGGACGGUACGUGACGCUG
rnacentral:rRNA from 1 species